UACGUAGGCAGCGAGCGUUGUUCGGAAUUACUGGGCGUAAAGGGCUCGUAGGCGGCCAACUAAGUCGGAUGUGAAAUCCCCAGGCUUAACCUGGGAACUGCAUCCGAUACUGGAUGGCUUGAAUUCGGGAGAGGGAUGUGGAAUUCCAGGUGUAGCGGUGAAAUGCGUAGAUAUCUGGAGGAACACCGGUGGCGAAGGCGGCAUCCUGGACCGACACUGACGCUGAGGCGCGAAAGCUAGGGUAGCAAACGGG
rnacentral:rRNA from 1 species